rnacentral:ncRNA from 2 species
AGCAUCGAUGGAUCGACGGGUGCCCCCCUCGGCCGCGCGCCGGAGGGGGGAGAAUAGGGAAGCCGGUGCGAAUCCGGCGCGGGGCCGCCGCUGUGAUCGGCCAGGCUUCGGACGUUGCGACCACUGCCCACGGGUGGGAAGGUCGUCCGAGGGCCGCCAGGAGCCGAGAGCCAGAAGACCUGCCCGUCGAAGCGACGUCGA